CUAACAGAUUCAAGCAGGAAGGCUUGAAGGUGAGAAGGGAGUGGUAAUGGCUGGAGGGGUUGGUUCUUAGGUGAGAUGUGUUUGGCUGGUAAUUAAGAGGGCAAGUUCUGAAGUUCAGAGGUCUGAAUAGGUUGGAAGCUCUAGGUCAAAAAGGUUUCAGCACAAGACUCAUCUAGAACCAUAACUACAGGUUCUGGUUUGAGUUGGAGACGUGUAUUAUGAAGAUGCAAAUUUUUAGUAUAUUUCAGAACUGAUUUGUAAAAGAUGAUGAACAAUUAUAAUAAAGUAAAAAUAAUAAAACAUACCUGAAAAAAGAAAGUAAAAAAGGAAAUUAUCCCAAGUACUAAAAACAGCAGUGAAUAUAAGUUGCUCUGUUCUCUUAAAAUGUCCUUG